rnacentral:rRNA from 1 species
GAAAGCGUAAUAGCUCACUGGUCGAGUCGGCCUGCGCGGAAGAUGUAACGGGGCUAAACCAUGCACCGAAGCUGCGGCAGCGACGCUUAUGCGUUGUUGGGUAGGGGAGCGUUCUGUAAGCCUGUGAAGGUGUGCUGUGAGGCAUGCUGGAGGUAUCAGAAGUGCGAAUGCUGACAUAAGUAACGAUAAAGCGGGUGAAAAGCCCGCUCGCCGGAAGACCAAGGGUUCCUGUCCAACGUUAAUCGGGGCAGGGUGAGUCGACCCCUAAGGCGAGGCCGAAAGGCGUAGUCGAUGGGAAACAGGUUAAUAUUCCUGUACUUGGUGUUACUGCGAAGGGGGGACGGAGAAGGCUAUGUUGGCCGGGCGACGGUUGUCCCGGUUUAAGCGUGUAGGCUGGUUUUCCAGGCAAAUCCGGAAAAUCAAGGCUGAGGCGUGAUGACGAGGCACUACGGUGCUGAAGCAACAAAUGCCCUGCUUCCAGGAAAAGCCUCUAAGCAUCAGGUAACAUCAAAUCGUACCCCAAACCGACACAGGUGGUCAGGUAGAGAAUACCAAGGCGCUUGAGAGAACUCGGGUGAAGGAACUAGGCAAAAUGGUGCCGUAACUUCGGGAGAAGGCACGCUGAUAUGUAGGUGAAGUCCCUCGCGGAUGGAGCUGAAAUCAGUCGAAGAUACCAGCUGGCUGCAACUGUUUAUUAAAAACACAGCACUGUGCAAACACGAAAGUGGACGUAUACGGUGUGACGCCUGCCCGGUGCCGGAAGGUUAAUUGAUGGGGUUAGCGCAAGCGAAGCUCUUGAUCGAAGCCCCGGUAAACGGCGGCCGUAACUAUAACGGUCCUAAGGUAGCGAAAUUCCUUGUCGGGUAAGUUCCGACCUGCACGAAUGGCGUAAUGAUGGCCAGGCUGUCUCCACCCGAGACUCAGUGAAAUUGAACUCGCUGUGAAGAUGCAGUGUACCCGCGGCAAGACGGAAAGACCCCGUGAACCUUUACUAUAGCUUGACACUGAACAUUGAGCCUUGAUGUGUAGGAUAGGUGGGAGGCUUAGAAGUGUGGACGCCAGUCUGCAUGGAGCCGACCUUGAAAUACCACCCUUUAAUGUUUGAUGUUCUAACGUUGACCCGUAAUCCGGGUUGCGGACAGUGUCUGGUGGGUAGUUUGACUGGGGCGGUCUCCUCCUAAAGAGUAACGGAGGAGCACGAAGGUUGGCUAAUCCUGGUCGGACAUCAGGAGGUUAGUGCAAUGGCAUAAGCCAGCUUGACUGCGAGCGUGACGGCGCGAGCAGGUGCGAAAGCAGGUCAUAGUGAUCCGGUGGUUCUGAAUGGAAGGGCCAUCGCUCAACGGAUAAAAGGUACUCUGGGGAUAACAGGCUGAUACCGCCCAAGAGUUCAUAUCGACGGCGGUGUUUGGCACCUCGAUGUCGGCUCAUCACAUCCUGGGGCUGAAGUAGGUCCCAAGGGUAUGGCUGUUCGCCAUUUAAAGUGGUACGCGAGCUGGGUUUAGAACGUCGUGAGACAGUUCGGUCCCUAUCUGCCGUGGGCGCUGGAGAACUGAGGGGGGCUGCUCCUAGUACGAGAGGACCGGAGUGGACGCAUCACUGGUGUUCGGGUUGUCAUGCCAAUGGCACUGCCCGGUAGCUAAAUGCGGAAGAGAUAAGUGCUGAAAGCAUCUAAGCACGAAACUUGCCCCGAGAUGAGUUCUCCCUGACUCCUUGAGAGUCCUGAAGGAACGUUGAAGACGACGACGUUGAUAGGCCGGGUGUGUAAGCGCAGCGAUGCGUUGAGCUAACCGGUACUAAUGAACCGUGAGGCUUAACC